UAAAAAAAGUCAGUUGACAUUACAAUGUUUAACGGGUAAGACCAUUUAGCUUGCUACGUUGCAUGUUUAAAAUAUUGAAGAAGUCGAGAAAUAAUUAAUGAAGAGUCCCUUUAAAUCGUUUUUUUUUUUCUUACAUUGUGUUCUGUUUUGAUAGAUUUCAUACUUUACUUUUACUUAUUCUACUGCUUCCUUAACAUCCAUUGUUUUCCAUUUGUUUUCUAAUUUUUUUUAGAUGUAUAUAACACCUCAUUAUAUGUUAACCUACAAAUGUAAAUAUUUCUUUAUAUAUGUCAUUGUAUGUUGUGCAUCUAAACAAUAUUUAGUUAAUAGUUUUAUCCUACAUCCGGAACGAUCGAUUUUUUUCAAUAGUACUUCAAUAUAUUAAAUCGAUAUUUAAGUCAAGUGACCUGGUCUUUUUAUUUUGAUAUUUUUAUUUGGGCUACAUUACAAACAGCUAGGGAAAAUGUUGUGGUUAUUAAUGUCAUGUAAUCAAUAAUUUUAAACAUUUUUAAACAACAUAUGAGAAAAUAAGGUUUUGAUUGUUAAGAAAAGUUCAAGAUUCUAUGAGCAUCGUAUGCUUUCAAACAAAAACAUUCUGUUAUGAGCAUUAAUCAUAAAAUAUUCUUUAUAUUUUGCAUCUAUAAGAUAAAUUGUAUAUUAUUUUUUAUUUAAUGUAUUAAUUCAAAUGCGUG
rnacentral:lncRNA from 1 species